CUUCAACGAACCCAGCCACAACGGCCGUUCGGCAGGCCGGUCCUGACCGUAGGUCGCCAGCAAAGCCUGCGCCUC
rnacentral:antisense_RNA from 1 species